ACACCCCAUGCAGACUAAAUCAGAGGGUUAAUGUAAGGAUAGAAAAAAAACAGAGGGUUACUGUAAAGACAGAAUAAAGUUAUACAUGUGAAAGCAUUUGGAAUGGCCCCAGGUACAAAAUGCAUGAUGAUGAAGGUGAUGAUGAUGACGAUUUUCUAAGGGCAGAAGUUUUCAUAGAGCAUACAUGGGCAGGACAUCCUUGUUAUAGAAGAAGAAACACCUCUCUCUCCUCCAGGUUCUCUGAGACUGGAUAGAUGAAGUCAUUUCAAUUUGUCCUGAAAAGUUGGCCUUGCCCAAAAAUAUACUGCAAAUGAGCUAAAAAAAAAUCAAGUGAGUUUCGUGUAGAAGCCUCACUCUUUCAUACAGUUUACCAGAGUCUUUCUUCAUGAGAAUAAGUGCCU